GUCCACGCCCUAAACGAUGUCAACUGGUUGUUGGGAAUUUAUUUCUCAGUAACGAAGCUAACGCGUGAAGUUGACCGCCUGGGGAGUACGGCCGCAAGGUUAAAACUCAAAGGAAUUGACGGGGACCCGCACAAGCGGUGGAUGAUGUUCUUUAAUUCGAUGCAACGCGAAAACCUUACCCACCUUUGACAUGUAUGGAAUCCUUUAGAGAUGAAGGAGUGCUCGAAAGAGAGCCAUAACACAGGUGCUGCAUGGCUGUCGU
rnacentral:rRNA from 1 species